rnacentral:lncRNA from 1 species
UUCAACAUCAGCAACAAUUAGCUUUCCAGGGCGGCUCAAUUCAACUUCAAGUUUAGCUAUUGUUUCGUUAAAAAGGGGUUGGAUGCUUGGGAGGUCUCUACUGGCUAAGUUGAGGGAAAUGUAGCAAUUAAUCAGUUGAUUAUGAAUACCUAAGUAGGCUAAGGUGAUUUCGAAACUAGCAUGCAAAAUAAGAAAUCAAAUCACAAUCAUAAAGGAGAAUUAGG